GCCGAGUUGGGGCGCAGCGGGCUCCUCGAAAUCACCUCGCACUGGCUGGUCCCUCGCCUUGCAGGCUGUUCCUGGGCGGUGCCCAUGGGCUGUGGUUAGGGAAAGAGUUGAGGGGGACCCUUGAGUAGAUUCGGAAACAACACGGCCCCAUGGCCCAAAGGGUCCCCUGUGUCCCCCGGAAGGCGUGCCCUGGAGGUCCCAGCGCUGCUGGUGGAGGAAGGUUUGGGAGAAACAGUGCUUCUGACAGCAGGCUUCCGGGUUCCGGGCUUCUCCGUGCUUCUUCCGUGUCAGCCCAGGGGACAGGGUGGAGCCCCUCAGACCUCGCCAUCCCGGGACCUGUGGGCAGAGGGACGGGUGCGGAGCCAAGGAGGCUGAGGCAGGAAGGAUUAGGAGUUCAAGCCCAGCUGGGUGACUUCGUGACACCCUGUCUCAAGAUAAAGGGCCGGGGGCGUCUCCCAGUGUGAAGAGGCCCCAGUACUGAAAGAGAAAGGAGGGAAGGGGCCAGCGACGGUCAGCAGACGGGUCCUCUCCGCUGGGUCCCGUGACUGUAGUAUCAAGGGCAAAACGACUCUCAGAAGCGCUGGAAGAAAAAGACCAGUAAGCUUUGCAGCCACAAAGGCCAAAGGCGACUCGCUGACAAGCAGAGGCCAGGGAGCAAGGCUCGCAUCCCACUCAUGACAGGGUGUGGCUCAGGGCAGGGCCAGCUGGGGGUGGACCCGGCUGUCUCCUGCGCCCAGCAAGCGACCAGUUGGGGUGCCGUGUGCAAAACUGACAGUGCUGCGCCCAGAGGACCACAGACUUGAAAGUGAAGCGUGGCAACUUUUGUGAGACAGACGCAGAUGCCUGUGAGAGACACUGAGGCGAUGGGGAGGGCACAGGGUCAGCCUGGUGGCCGUGGGACCUGCGCAGGGAUGACCAGGCGCUGUGCUGGAGAACCACGCAGACCACCUCACCGCUGGCUGCACGAGGGGCGCGUUUAUUUUUCCUCCAGCCUGGAGGCCCUGCACGUGCUAGGCCAGGGCUCUGCCGCUGUCACUCGGAUCUCUCUCUUUCUGGACAUUUUAGGGAGGCUCACAGAAGAACCAAAA